GUGAAUCAUCAAAUUUUUGAACGCAAAUUGCACUCUUCUCGGAGAGUAUGCCUGUUUGAGUGUCAGCCUAUGAAAAAUCGUCAUCGUUUCUGUUUCGCGGUGGCGUGCGUCGUUAAUGAGUUCAUCUUACAUCUUUUGUUUUUAAGCGACUUAAGAUUUUCUUUUUUGUUCCAUGUACGUUUCUAAGAUUUAUUUGUUUACACGUUUAAGGUAUUGAUUUUUAUUAGACGUGACCAUCAUAUCUGAUCGCGUCCAUAAUCUUUCAUUAACUUACC
rnacentral:misc_RNA from 1 species